rnacentral:rRNA from 1 species
GACAGAGGGUGCAAACGUUGCUCGGAAUCACUGGGCGUAAAGGGCGUGUAGGCGGAUAGAUAAGUCGGGCGUGAAAGCCCCAGGCUCAACCUGGGAACUGCACUCGAAACUGUUUAUCUUGAGUGCCGGAGAGGAAACUGGAAUUUACGGUGUAGCAGUGAAAUGCGUAGAGAUCGUAAGGAAGACCAGUGGCGAAGGCGAGUUUCUGGACGGUAACUGACGCUGAGGCACGAAGGCCAGGGGAGCAAACGGG